CUGAAGCAAAAAGUCAGUUGUCCAUAUCAGGGCUGUAACUUUAAGAGCAAUAUUUAUUCCACCUUCAAUGCACACAGAAGCAAAGAGCAUAAGCUUGACGGUGAGAUGAUAUUCAAAUCUGAAAUUGUUUCAGAGAAUGUCUCAGAGGAACCUCGGACUAAUAGACCUGAGGACACUGUGACUGUUGAACCCGAGGACAGUGAUUCUGAUGCUGCUGAUACAGCAUUCGGAUUAACAUCUGACGAAAAUGUAGAAGAUUUGGAGAGACAGUUGGAACAUAAUGUAGCUGCUCUGUUCUUGAAGAUGACCUCAAUUUUUAACAUCUCUGAAACUGCCCUGCAAGAUGUUAUAGAGCAGAUAAACCAAAUUCAUUUGCUGUCACAGCCAUUAAUCCAUUCCUCUAUUCAAAGAAUACUACAUCAGUCGGAUGACUAUUUAGUGAACGAGAUAGUUAAGGUAGUAACUGAUAACAAUGCAUUCCUGAAAUGCACUUCUAGUGGAGGAUCAUUAUCAACUACCAGCAAGCGAACAGCAUACAUUUUAAGAGAAUUUCCUGUGGUAAUGCCCAUUGAGUAUAUGCUGAAAAAAGACAAGCACACAUUUUUGUAUGUCCCUAUACUGAAAAUGCUGCAGACAAUUCUAAGCAAUAGGGACAUCUUGGAGAAGGCCAUGUCAUCUGAGUCAAAUGUGACACAGGGUUACAAGUCAUACAAAGAUGGUUUCCGAUUCAAAGACAAUCAUCUCUUGACAGAAGAAGAGUUCAGAAUAGCUCUUUGCUUGUACAUUGAUGACUUUGAGGUUGCUAAUCCCUUGGGAACGUCAAAAAGAAAACACAAACUUUGUGCUGUUUACUGGGUUCUUGGCAAUUUGCACCCUAAAUAUCGCUCGUCUCUUCACUCUAUUCAGCUUGCCCUGCUCUGCAAGGUCAGUCACAUCAAAGAAUACGGCUAUAGUGAAAUUCUUCACCCUCUCAUUCAGGACCUAGUUUCACUGGAGCAACAUGGUGUAUAUGUUGAGCAGUUAGGAUCCAGCAUCAAAGGCACUGUGUUAUUUGUCGCAGCAGACAAUUUAGCUGCCCAUUCUUUAGGAGGGUUCUUUGAAAGCUUCACAGUGAGUCGGAUGUGCAGAUUCUGCAUGGCAAAACGGGAAGAAAUUCAGCUCAAGGAAGUGCGGACAGGCACGUUUCAACCAAGAACUAAAGAAAGUCAUGACAGACAUGUACGUGACGUUUUGGAGGAUUCUACCAUGUCUCAAGAAUAUGGUGUGAAAGGUAAUUGCCCUCUUACUGUAAGCUUGGAACAUUUUCAUGUUGUUGAUGGGUACCCGCCAGAUCUUUUGCAUGAUCUCCUUGAGGGUGUUGUUCCACUUGAAUUAGCCUUGUGUUUGAAGGGUCUCGUAUCAAAAGGAUAUUUCACACUUGAAGUCUUGAAUGCGGCAAUCAAACAAUUUCCAUAUGCAUUUUCAGACAGAACAAAUCAACCACAGCUCAUCACAAAGAACUUUUACUCCAAGCGAACAAUUGGAGGAAAUGGCCAUGAAAAUUGGACACUUCUCCGGCUUUUGCCACUACUAGUUGGUCAUUGCAUUCCUGAGGGGGAUGAAACCUGGGAGGUUUUGAUGAACUUAAAAGAUGUAGUUGAAUUGUCAUUGUCUGCAAGCUUUACAGAGGAAACCAUGUACUUUCUUGACUGCAAGAUUGCAGAACAUAGACAUCUAUUUCAAAAAGUGUUCCCGAAUGAAACAAUAAAGCCAAAGCACCACUACAUUGAGCACUACCCUCAAUUAAUCCAAAAGUUUGGUCCAUUGUCUGCUGUGUGGACAAUGCGUUUUGAAGGAAAACACAAAUUUUUCAAAGAAGUUGUGCGUCAUGCUCACAAUUUCAAGAACAUAGCACUUACUUUGGCUAUGAGGCACCAAAAAAUGAUGUCCUUCCGUUUGUCGUCAGCCUCUUUUUUUAAGGCAUCUGUUGAAAUUGACAAAGUAAAGUCUGUGAUGGUUGAUUCAUUUCCUGAAAAUGUGCAGAAGUAUCUUUUUCACAGGAAUGCUCAGCAGAACACAGUCCUUGUGGCAUCUUCUGCAUGUGUGCAUGGCAUUAAAUACAGUGCUGAUAUGGUCGUUUCUGUUGGAUCUUGCUCCGGACUCCCAGAUUUCAGACAAAUAACAAAGAUUGUGGUGAUCAAUACUGAGAUAUUAUUUGUCUGCAGACUCAUGACCUCAUGGUAUCAUGAGCAUUUUAGAGCCUAUGAGCUCUGUGGCAACCAUUUGUCCACUGUCUCAGUCACUGAGUUGUGUGAGCUGAAUGACCCUUUCCCCCUGUCACUUUACAAAGUGAAAGGAAGACAGCUUAUUACACUUAAGGGGUACAUAUUAUGUUAAGUGACAGUAACUUAAAUGUUUGAAUUUCAUACAUGUCUCUUUUCUCAGGAUCACUUGAAUAUGGACCAAGGAAUGUUGCUCAGAGUUGUCAUCAGUGAUGAUGACAUUAGAAAGUUGAUGUUGAGUAAGAGACCAGAUUCUAUCGAUGACCUGAAAGAUCAGCUGAAGAAUCAACUGUCGCUGCAGUAUGACUUUAAACUACAGUAUGAAGACGAAGACUUCAAUAAUGCCCUCUGCAAUUUAACUGAAAUAGGAGACUUGCCUGAAAAAGCAACACUGAAAAUACUCCCUCUCAUAACUCUUAAUCUAAGAAGUCUUUCAUCACACAACACAUCAUCAGACACGGAGUGCAGCACAGCAGACACUGAGAUCCUGUCAGCUUGUGGGACAUCACAUUCACUAAGAGAACAGUGGCCGGACUUCUUUAAUAUACCCAAUUUCUCAGUAGAUGUUGAGUACAGACUUAGACAGGGAGAUCUUGCCUUCAUGAAAGAUGGGACACGAAUGACUGUAUCAAGAGACAUGAAGCAUGACAUACUUGAAAAAAUUGCUGAGUCAAUGUACACUUUCAAGGCAUAUCCAGAAGAUGAUGACUUCACCAGCGUUGCAAAAGCACUGAUUAGCAAGCACCCCUGCCUUACAGAGCCUGGUCUUCAGCCAGGAUGGUAUGGCUGGAAGAACAGCCUUAAAUUUAAGAUGGCGAACUAUCGCACAAAGCUUCGGAAAGUUGGAUUUGAAGAUGUAACAGUUAAUGGAGGUAAACGAAGUAAAGCCAACCCAGAGGGAGAGUACUCAAGCAAGAAUGUGAAACGACCAAAAAGAGGUGAAGCAAAUUAUCUGCCCAACUUUCCUGAUGGACAUGAUGAAAUAACCCUUGAAAAUGCAAGGAAGGUCAUGGCAGAUGAAAUAAAGAAGAAACUGCCAGAUGCCACUCUCAUCUCACAGUUGAUGGAUCUGACAUUUCCACUACGUAGGCAAGAGAUUGUAAAAGAGGCACCUGCUGUACAGAACAUGGCUGAACGGUGGCCAGGUCUUUUCAAAGAGAGACAGAUAUUUGCUGAGUUCUUUAGAAUUACCAGCAAGAACCUAGAGGGAGACUUCUUUGAGACUUUGGACCAGCUCACCCCACGUUUUAUUGAAAUAUUCAAGUCCAAAAAAGGAACUACUGGGCAGAAACUGACCAAGCUAUUGCAGGACAUCACUGGUUUUACUCAAGAUGUCACUGCACUGCGUUCUGUUGUCCUGAAAGGCAUUCCAAUCAUUCUUGGUGAUGACGCCACUAAAUGUUACAAGACGUGCUUUGAUACCGAGAUCAAUGAGGCCCUGGCAUCAGUUACAGUUGGUGUGCUGAGUGUUCUGAGUGAAGACGAUCCCCCGCAGGGUUCAAGCUCAGUCUAUCUCCCUCCUACCUCCACUGCCAUUGUCAUUGAGGGAAAUCUGGUCAUGGACAACAUUAAAGACUUCCCUCAGGCGGUUUGCCUAUUAUUUGGACUUACCUAUGCUUUACACUUGGAUUACCCAAAGUACAUGGCACAUACACUCACAUUUAUUCAGACAGUAAUGCUUGGUUUGGGAAACAAAACUCUUCCUCCAAAACUGCAAAGCCUCAGAAACAGUCUAAUGAUUUAGAUAACCCAGUAGAUUACUUGUCAGACUAAAGCAAAUAAUCAGCGAGGAGUCAUCAGACAGGAUUUGGCAAUUGUUUUAUUCAUUAUUGUAUUCUUGUGAUAUACUUUGCAAAAUUCAUAGCUAUUUCCUCUAAGGUGAGGUCAGGCUGGCUUUACCAGUACAGUUCAGUUCAAUACUGGUAAAGCACUUGUUCAUAUUCAAACCUUUAGCACGGAAUGCAAAGAAGAUGGCAGCAUUUGUGACCACAAAAGUUGAUUCCUUGCCGUUUUAAAAAGAACAAAAGAAACAAAGGAGGCCAAAAAUAUGUGGCUAGAAAAGACUCAAAUGUUCUCAUGUAUGCUUUUGAAUUGAAGCAAAUCCUGAAUUUUUGUCAACAGUCUAAGGUUUGAUGUCAUUUUUGAUUAUGGUUAAUGGUAA